rnacentral:rRNA from 1 species
AGAGCGAACGCUGGCGGCAGGCCUAACACAUGCAAGUCGAGCGCCCGUAGCAAUACGGGAGCGGCAGACGGGAUAGUAACACGUGGGAACGCGCCCUUCGGUUCGGAAUAACUCAGGGAAACUUGAGCUAAUACCGGAUACGCCCUUACAGGGAAAGAUUUAUUGCCGAAGGAACGGCCCGCGUCCGAUUAGCUAGUUGGUGAGGUAAUGGCUCACCAAGGCGACGAUCGGUAGCUGGUCUGAGAGGAUGACCAGCAUCACUGGGACUGAGACACGGCCCAGACUCCUACGGGAGGCAGCAGUGGGGAAUAUUGGACAAUGGGCGCAAGCCUGAUCCAGCCAUGCCGCGUGGAUGAUGAAGGCCUUAGGGUGUAAGUCCUUUAACGGGAAGAUAAUGACGGUACCGUAGAAUAAGCCCGGCUAACUUCGUGCCAGCAGCCGC